CUGCAUACCAGAAGUCUUGGUAAUUGCAGAUAAAAUUCUCAAACAUUGUACCUUCCUCUUUUGGAAGGCUUGAAACGAUUUUUUUGUACCUCUGGAAGGUAAUCUCAUUUUCUUCCUCUUCUUCUCUGUCUGCCAUUGUUGGUGUAAGGUGUUUUAGUUUUUGUCAAGGAAUGCUAGUUGUUG